rnacentral:misc_RNA from 1 species
GUCAAGCCAAAGGAAUCCAUAGAUCUGGCACUGUAGCCAAUUUCUCUUAUCAAUUAGAACAUUUUUUUUUAGAAUAAAUUCACAUAAUAAACGAGUAAAAUAAAACUAACUAGGGUAGUAGAUAGGCACCAAAUUUUCAUUAAGAUUAAAAAAAAAAAUUUACUACUACCUCUCUCUUUCUCUAGAUAUACAAAGGAAAGGAGGAGAAAAAAAUAGAAAAGAGAGAUCAGGUUCUAGCCCAACAGAAGUCAUACCACCCACUCAAAUAGGGAAUCCAAUUCCCAGCUUUUUUUAUCAUUAGAAGAAAGAAACCAAAAAAGCCCUUAGUGGGGUUUGCCUCUAGAUGAUCACCUCCUAAUGUACCAGUGUAAAGUUGCAUGUCCACCACCACUGCCAUGGCAAAAUCUCAUCCACACAUCAAACCCCACUUGCUAUCUUUUCACCUUUCAACCCCAAAAGAACAAAUAUAGACCUGAAAACCAGAUGCUCAGAGAAGCCAAGAACAUGUUAGUGGCUUCAAUGGGAGCCACACCACUAUUGUCAAUGCUACCACUUCCUGUUGGUCCCAAACCAGUAAACGGAGUUGGAGUCACUCCUGUUGUGGGUGUAGUUAUGCCUGUGCCGGUACCAGUGCUCGUUCCCGUUCCCACGCCUGUGCCUACGCCAGUCCCAGUACCAGUCCCAGUGCCUGUGCCUGUGCCUGUGCCU